UUAUUCAAUGCCAAGGAAAACUCAG
rnacentral:piRNA from 1 species